UAUGCUUAGAUUCAAUUUAAAUCAAAUAAAAGCUUCGUUAAACAAGUAUUAUUUUAAAGUGAAUUUUGUUAAAUUAAUAGACGCUCAUUUAUUGAAUUUGCAGUUUAUGGUUAUGAAAAAAAAACUAGAAAAAAAAAGAAAGAAGAAAACCGUUUUAGCUCUCUUCGAAAAAAAAAAUAUAAAAGACGCCGUGGAUGCAAACGAUGCAAACGAUGCAAUUUGUUGUUCAAGUGAAUUCAAAGUUGUUUCUUCAAGAUAUGUUUUAAUUAUUUAAUUGUGCUCGUUUAAUUGAUAAACAUUCUAUAUUUAUUAUCAUGGAAGCUUUGUUGCCUUCGGAAAUAGCUCGAUUAGUGUUUGGAUAUUUGGAAGAUCAUGAUUGCAAUGAAGCUGCAAGAGUAUUCUUAGAAACAUCUCCGCAUCUUCAAGAAUGUCGUAAUGUACUAUCAAAAGGAAGGCGUUUUAAUACUCGUAUCAAUGGAUUAUCAUUAGUAGAUAUUUUCGAAAAAUAUUCAGCAAUGAGCAUUAUGAUACAGGAACGUUUAAACAAAAUCACAGAUAAUGAACACGUAAAACAAUGCGGCAAUCUGUUGGAACAAUUAAAAUUUUUAGUAGAAGAAACACAAGCAGGAAAACGCUUUGUUGUAAAUAUCAAUGUGCCUACGCAGCCGAACCAGCAAACAUUAGGUGGAUCUCCAAUAAUAUCAGGUAGUAGAAAAAAAAAACAUCAUAACGACAAAGAGCGACAAAAAGUUAACACUAAUAAAUACUCUAAUUCGCCAAGUCUAAUAGGCCUAGAAUCAGACUUGCCAUUCAAUUAUGCGAUGGGUUGUGAAGCAACAGCUCUUGAAAGUUUACCUGGACAUAUGGAAAAAUGUAACGAUGUACAAAAUGACAUUAAUAGUGCGACAAGGCAAUUAAAUCAAUGUAGUUCUAGGAAAAGUAGUUUUACGGAAAGCUAUCAUACGACGGAUAGUAGAGAUAAAGUUGCAACAGUGGAUACAGGCGAUAAUAUUGAUAUUCAAAAUUUUAAUUCAAACGUGAUUAAUGACGAUAAAUGUAGAAAAAUUGACGACGCAAAAAAUACUGAUCUAAGUGAAAAAUGUACUACGGGAACAAAUACGGAAGAAUUGUUAUCUUUUUCUAAUACGGAAGUUCAAACUACUCCUUGCGAAUUAUUUGAUUAUGAAUCGGAAAUUAACGACGAGCCUGUUCAAAAUCUUAGUUUGUUGACAAAGGAAUUAUUAAACCGAACAGAAUUACAAGAACGUAUAGCUGAAAAUAUAAAUAAAGCAAUUCUUCCAACUGAUGUAUCCAUGAAGGAUGUUAAAGAUAUUUUUAAUGAAUCUAUUGGCUGUGAAUUGAAUACCUCGGUUGUAACUGAAUUAAAUAAUGCUAUUAAAUCAAUAGUGGAGGCAACAGAAUCUGAUCCAGUAUUUGAACAAUUUCUCGAUGAAAUUAUUGGAAAAAACAUAGAAACAGAUACAAGUCCUGACGAGGACAUCGACGUUAAAUCGACUCCUACCAAAAGAACAGAAGAAAAACGAUUGGAAAUUGAUAAUGUUAUUAUUUUGCCGGAACGCACAGUCGUUGGAGUUAAAUCGUCCAACAAAAUAAGUUCAACGGAAAUACCUUUAAAACAAAGACUCCGCAGUUCUUCUAGACAACAAACAGCUAGAAUGGAAGAUGAGAUUUAUAAACAAAAGGAACAAAAUGUUCUAGAAGAUCAGAAUGCUGCUGCUAUUUUAAGUAUCAUAAAUGCUAACAUAACAAACAUUAAACCAGAAAAUGAUAAAACGACUAAUAUUACAAAUGAUAACAAAGAGUCCUCUGUGACAGAAAAAAAAUCUCAAAUAUCUAUACCUAGUACAAGUAAUACUACCGACUUGUCCGAAAAAUAUUCUGCGCCAAUAGAAAAUCAAAAAGUUGAUAAUAUUACUGCGAAUAAAGAAACGGAACCUAAAACAAAAAGAUCGGUGGUCAAGCGACCACGACCUUCAAAAGUAAAACGGGAAGCUGAAAUUAAUACUGACAAUUUAAUUUCGGAACAAGAUGUUAUGACUAUGCCGACACUGGUAUUAUGUUCGAAAGAAGAAAUACCUAAUAGUAAAGCUCAAAAUCAAUCUUACUCGAUUGAAAAUGUUAAUCCUAUUGAAUCUAAUUCAACUUCGCAUUUUAUUCCAAUCUUGCCUAAAAGUUCUAACAAAACUAAAGAAUCGGUAGAGAAAUUAUAUGUUAAAGCUGUCAAUGUACCGCAGAAAUAUGUAUUGCCAGCGACGAUGCCAAAAAUACAAGAAAAUACGAUUAACUAUUCAAAUAGUAAGGUACAAUUACCGGCAGUAGAAAGCAUUGCUAAUAGCAAAGAAAAUACUAUACAAAACAUUGAUAAAUCUAUACAACAAAAUACAUGUAAUCGUAUUUUUCUAGAUCCAAUAGAAACAAACAAAUUAGUGAGUAUGGAAUCGAUAACACUUUAUAGUACAGAAAAUAGUAUAAAAACAUCUUUAAAUAAUACAGCAAUGCCUAUAAUUAACUUAGAAGAAAACGUGACUUUGUCAGGAAUAGAACUAUCUCCUUUUUUGAAGUUUAAUUCUAACAAGUCUAAUCAAAGUCACAAUUUGUCAGAUAUCGAUCAGAUAUUGCUUAUGGAAAAUUUUAAAACGAUAACGCAAUCUACGACAAACGAAAGUAAUGAACAGAAUAUAAUGACAUCUAAAAAAACGGAAAAUGAUAUUAUUACUAAACAGACACCAAGGUCCUUAUUAAAGCAUAGAACAAAAUCGCAUAGACUUAGUUUAUCUACUCCUCGAAGGAGGAGCCAUAUAAGAGCACUUGAUUUUAAUACUCCGACUAAGUUAAUACAUUCUGCUUCUAAAUCUCAAGAUAAUGAUAAUACCAAAUGUACUCCAAAAUUAUUAAGAUCCAUGAAAUCAGUUCGUAGAACUUCUCUCUUUAAAUCCCCACCAUUAGCUAAUUCAUCUGUAACAGUACCAACGUUUCAAAAUGCAUUAACUGCUAUAAAAUCUAUUGAAAUACCUAUAGCAACUAGAAGUCCUGCUCCAAAAUUAAUGGGAGGUUGGGAAAAAUAUAAUGGCGUAGGAGUAAUCAUUGAUGAUCUAUCCCCGUCUAAAAGCAAUGAUACAACUUCUCCUACACCGAUAAAUAAUUCGGAAGAAGGUAAAGUUGUAACUAAGUGUUGGGAUGCAGAUUUACGCCGGGGUUUACAAAUGAAUGAUGAAAAAUUAACUAAAUCGACAAUAAGUAAAAAAAAGAAGAAGAAAGCUAUUGAAAAUAAAAAUAAUAUCGAAUGUAAAACUUCUAAACGUAACAUCAUACGUAAAACUUCUAACAUUUCUAAAUCUGCUAUUGAUGUAAAAAAACAAUAUGUCAAUGAAAAAGAAGAAUCAAUGGCAAGCAUGAAAGAUGCUAAAAAAAAAAAAUCAGAUCUAACGUUAGAAACAAACAAUGUAUCGCUUUCUCAAAAUAAUGCUUUUUCAAAUUUGUUGAAUAGUACAAACAAAGAAACAACAAGUGUGGUAGGUAAUACUUGUAUUUUAGAAAAGUCAAAAAUAAGCUCGGAUACAUGCACAUCUAAAUCCACUUGUCCUGUACCUUCUGUAAUAGAAAAUAGAACUAUAAGAAAUACAAACAAUAAAGAAACGACUGAGAAAAAGGUAGUAAAAAAAUAUGUACAAUUAAAAACAUUAAAAACAAAUUUAAAAAUGUCGGGAAAAGAAACAAAUAUUACAAAUAAUAUAUCGCCUACCGCAGAAAUUCUUCCAGUAACUGAACCUUUGAAAGUUACAGUGGAAUGCGCUAGAAAAAUUUUACCAAUAACUGAUAUAAUAGAUUUGGAAACCCCAAGAAAAUGUGAAAAUUCUUCUGGAAUACCAUCUACGCCUCGUUUAAUUAGUCCUAAUAGCAAUCUUAUUUCAUCAUUUCCUAAAAUUCACGAUGAUUCGACUAAGAUUCGUAGCUUAAUAAAGACACCAGAGUUUCCACCCACUCCUUGUAUCACAUUGACUCCAAAACAUUGCGAAGAAAAUACUCACGAUGUUAUGAAAAAAGGAAUAUACAACGGGUGUAUAUCAUCUUAUUACAAACCAAGUACAGAACAUGUAAAUUCCUGUGAUUCUGGAAAAAUGAUUAAAGUUGAUAUGAAAUUGGAUAGCAGUGGAACGACGAAACAUUUAGCUACACCAGUUUCUAAUCCCAAGUUGUGCUCUGCUCAAUGCACAAUAAAUACAGAUAGUGGUUAUAGUAAUACGUCUAUUUCAACCAAACUUGAAAUAACACAAUUUGAAGUAAUCAAAGAAAAUUUGCCAAAGAAUGAAGCUGUCAAAGAAUUUAAAAUAUCUUCUAACACUAAAGAUACUACAACUGCUAUUUUAAAUCCAACUUCUGUGCACAAUGAUGGAAAUAUUAAUGAUGUUACACUGAACGAUAAAAAAUCUUCUAAUAUUCAUGAAAAUUUAAUUGAUAAUAGUGAUUCUUCUUCGUCUUCUUCUUCUUCAUCUUCAUCUUCAUCUUCUUCUUCUUCCUCUUCUUCUUCUACUAAUACUAAUACUAAUACUACUUAUGAUACUUCUAAACCACCGUCGUGUAACAAAAAGUAUAAGAAAUCUCCUAACGUAAUAUACACAGAUACGAGUAACGAUUCUAUAUCAAAAAUAAAUCCAUCUACUAACAAUUCUAUGCAAAAUAUACCUAUAAACUUGAAGAAUGAUUUGACCAAAGAUAAAGUGAUAUUAAGUGUAUCAAAUAUGUCAACUAAUUUUAUUGAAAUUGAUAAAGCAACCAUGAAUAAUAUUAGAAUCAAAUCCGAAUCUUCUCCAGCUAAGCUAAUGUCGAUAAAUAAAAGCGAAGAGAAAUAUGAAUCUAUUUUAAAAGAAACUCCUGCUAAGGAUGAAAAUUUGUUAGCGGAAGAAGAUAUAUCUGUCACGCCUAGCAGUACCAAAAUUGGCAUAAGCAAUGUAACAAAUUUAUCAUCAAAAAUUGCAUUUAUUACCUCAGAAAAUGAAAAAUUAGUAAAAGCAAAUUCUUCGAAAUCAGAAGCCUCGAAUACGAAUAAAAUCAGACAACAAACACAAAUAAUCGAUAUACAAAAUAUAUCGUUUGACAAGUCAAAAUUUGAGCCAUUAGCAGAAUUUUCCAAUUAUGAAAUCACUAAACAAUAUAUAUUACGUACAGAUGAACGCGCAAGACAAUUGGAACAAAAACGUCAACGUAUGAUAAUAAAGCUUAAGCAAAUUCCUAAAUCUAAUACAAUUUUCGCGAAAAAUAGAUCUAAAAAGAAUAUAUUCUCAGUAAAGAAAAAACUUCAUUGUGUAAAUAAAAAUAAUCAAUUAAAGACAAAAAGUAGAAUAAAUACGAAUAGAAAACAAUGUGAAAAGAAUUUGGAUAAGAAUACCAAUAAUAGAGAAAAUACUGAUAAUCAAGUUUCCGGAAGUAGUAAUGUUACUAAUAUUCAAGAUAUAAAAAAAGAAGAAAAUAACAAAAAAUCGUAUUCUACAUUAAAUAAAUAUAAUAAUGAUAUUCAAAAUAAUACAAAAAAUGUUUUAAUGGAAGCAAAUUCUUCGGUUAAUACGUUAAUCUCAACGCAAGGAAAAAUAGAUGAGUCAAAAAGUAAUUUAGGAGAAUAUAGUGCUGCUUGUAAUACAUCUCAAAAUGAUGUUGUUGAAAGCGAUCGGAUUAAUGAUAAAAAAAUAAGUGAACAAGAAUCGUCGAAAGAAUAUCUAUCUAAUAGUAACAAAGAUAGAAAAACUGUACAAGAUACUGAUGUAAAAAAUAAGUUUAAUAGGAAAGAUAAUGAAAUAAUUUUAAAAAAGCAUGAUGAAAAGGUAAAAGAUAUAUUAAAGACUAAAAUAAAUCAAGUAAAACGAGAUUUGUUUAGCGACGAAGAAAAUGAACAAAAAUGUAAAAUAUCGGAAGGUAGAAAUUUCUCAAAAGAUUCAGAAGUUCAAAAGAAAGAUAAACAGAUUUCGAAUGAUAACGAAGAGAAGAAAACUGUAAAAACUAUUCAAUCGCAAGAUCCAAAGGAGGAAUUACCUUGUGUUCUUGAAUGUUUACAAUUAGUACCAGCAAGCAAAACCGAUAAUAGUAAAGAAAAAAGUGACAACAAUCAAUUCGAGGAAGAAAUUAAUUUAAAUAUAACUGGACCUGGUUCUGUAGUAUAUCACUUUAUUUAUGACGACAGUAUAUCAACUAAAAAAAGAAGAAGAAGAUAUGGUAGCAGCGAAUUAAAGCAACAUGUAAAAGUUCAACUGAGCAAUGAUAAUUACAAAGAAAUAGUCACACAAACUUUGACAGCUACUGAUUAUCAAGAAAUAUACAAUAUGAAUCCAAUAUCUAGGAAAAAAUCUAUCAACAAAAAACUCCCUGUUAAAAAUAUUGAACCGAGUAACAUUCAUUUUAAAAACGGUAAUUUUAUCUUAAAGAAUGAUUCCACGAAACCAUUAGCCACGUCUUCACCUGUAGAUAAGCCUUUAGUAUCGAAAUUCAAGAAAACAACAGAUAAAAUAAAAUCGGUAAAUGACAAAGAUAAUUUAUUAAUAAAAGUAAAAGUACAAUCUGAAAAAGAUAAAAUGAAUAAAGACAAUUUAAUCACAAAAAAUCAUAAAAGGAAAAUAUCCGAAUCUAGCGAAGACUCAAAGAUUGAGAAGAAACGUUUAUAUGAUCCACGAGUGCUACUAAAUAAUAUGGAUAUAGAUGAAUUUUUGACAUCAGUUCAUGGACCUACAUGAAUAUUAAAUAUGCUCUCUUGUUAUAUUCAACGAUAUUUUUAAUAUGUAAGUGUAUAUAUAUAUUGAAUAUAUUCGAUCAAUGGCCUCGCCUUAUAGAAGAAACUAUUUCUUAUUGAAUCGUUAAAGUUAAAGAACGAUGGAUACGAUUAGUAUCUGAAUAGGUGACUUCUUUGGGACACUAUGUGCUAUUCACUCCAGAAAGAAUUGUCAAAGGGUCUUUCGUCUAACUCGACCAUCUAAAAUAUCUCGUUUAUUUCGUGCGAUAGAAAAAAAUAUUAGAGGAAAAAAAUACUCUAUUCGAGGGUGUCGAUAUAGUGAAAGGCCGAAUUUUUGUUGUAUAUUUGUUUAAUUCAAUAUAUUCAAUAUAUAU